rnacentral:rRNA from 1 species
AUGGCUCAGGAUGAACGCUAGCUACAGGCUUAACACAUGCAAGUCGAGGGGCAGCAUGGGAUUAGCUUGCUAAUCUUGAUGGCGACCGGCGCACGGGUGAGUAACGCGUAUCCAACCUUCCCCCUACUCAGGCAUAGCCCGGUGAAAACCGGAUUAACUCCUGAUAGUUUCACUAGAUGGCAUCUGACGGUGAAUAAAGCUCAGCGGUAAGGGAUGGGGAUGCGUCUGAUUAGCUUGUUGGCGGGGUAACGGCCCACCAAGGCGACGAUCAGUAGGGGUUCUGAGAGGAAGGUCCCCCACAUUGGAACUGAGACACGGUCCAAACUCCUACGGGAGGCAGCAGUGAGGAAUAUUGGUCAAUGGGCGGAAGCCUGAACCAGCCAAGUAGCGUGCAGGAAGACGGCCCUAUGGGUUGUAAACUGCUUUUGUGCGGGAAUAAAGUCAGGGACGUGUCCCUGUUUGCAUGUACCGCAAGAAUAAGGACCGGCUAAUUCCGUGCCAGCCGCAGC